rnacentral:rRNA from 1 species
AGAUUGAACGCUGGCGGCAGGCCUAACACAUGCAAGUCGAGCGGCAGCACGGGUACUUGUACCUGGUGGCGAGCGGCGGACGGGUGAGUAAUGCCUAGGAAUCUGCCAGGUAGUGGGGGAUAACGCUCGGAAACGGACGCUAAUACCGCAUACGUCCUACGGGAGAAAGCAGGGGACCUUCGGGCCUUGCGCUAUCAGAUGAGCCUAGGUCGGAUUAGCUAGUUGGUGAGGUAAUGGCUCACCAAGGCGACGAUCCGUAACUGGUCUGAGAGGAUGAUCAGUCACACUGGAACUGGAGACACGGUCCAGGACUCCGUACGGGAGCAGCGAGGUGGGAAUAGUUGGACAAGUGGGACGAAAGCCGUGAUCCGAGCCAGUCGCCGCGUGUGUAGAAGUAAGGUCGUUA